AGUAUAGUCAGCUAAAAAAGCUUUCGGGCCCAUACCCCGAGAAUGUAGGUUUGACCCCUAUCUAUGCUA
rnacentral:tRNA from 1 species